rnacentral:rRNA from 1 species
GACGAACGCUGGCGGCGUGCUUAACACAUGCAAGUCGAACGAUGAAGCCGGAGCUUGCUCUGGUGAAUUAGUGGCGAACGGGUGAGUAACACGUGAGUAACCUGCCCUUGACUCUGGGAUAACUGCGGGAAACUGUAGCUAAUACCGGAUACGACCCUCGGAGGCAUCUCCUGGGGGUGGAAAGAAUUUCGGUCAAGGAUGGACUCGCGGCCUAUCAGCUAGUUGGUGAGGUAAAGGCUCACCAAGGCGACGACGGGUAGACGGCCUGAGAGGGGGACCGGCCACACUGGGACUGAGACACGGCCCAGACUCCUACGGGAGGCAGCAGUGGGGAAUAUUGCACAAUGGGCGCAAGCCUGAUGAAGCAACGCCGCGUGAGGGAUGACGGCCUUCGGGUUGUAAACCUCUUUUAGCAGGGAAGAAGCGAAAGUGACGGUACCUGCAGAAAAAGCACCGGCUAACUACGUGCCAGCCGCCGCAGUAA